UAAAACUCACCUCAGUUCGGAUCGAAGUCUGCAACCCGACUUCGUGAAGCUGGAAUCGCUAGUAAUCGCGCAUCAGCCAUGGCGCGGUGAAUACGUUCCCGGGCCUUGUACACACCGCCCGUCAAGCCAUGGAAGCUGAAGGUGCCUGAAGUCGGUGACCGAAAGGAGCUGCCUAGGGCAAAUUUGGUGACUGGGGCUAAGUCGUAACAAGGUAACCGUAA
rnacentral:rRNA from 1 species